rnacentral:rRNA from 1 species
AGCAGCCGCGGUAAUUCCAGCUCCAAUAGCGUAUAUUAAAGUUGUUGCAGUUAAAAAGCUCGUAGUUGAAUUUCGGGGUUAGUAGAUUGGUCAUGCCUCUGGUACGCACUGGUCUUACUGAUUCCUCCUUCCUGAUGAACCGUAAUGCCAUUAAUUUGGUGUUGCGGGGAAACUGGACUGUUACCUUGAAAAAUUAGAGUGUUUAAAGCAGGCUAACGCUUGAAUACAUUAGCAUGGAAUAAUGAAAUAGGACGUUCGAUCUUAUCUUGUUGGUUUCUAGGAUUGACGUAAUGAUUAAUAGGGAUAGUUGGGGCAUUAGUAUUCAAUUGUCAGAGGUGAAAUUCUGGAUUUAUGAAGACUAACUACUGCGAAAGCAUUUGCCAAGGAUGUUUCAUUAAUACAAGAACGAAAG